rnacentral:rRNA from 1 species
CGUGUAGGCGGCCUUUUAAGUCCAGCGUGAAAUCCUCCGGCUUAACCGGAGAAUGGCGCUGGAUACUGGAAGGCUAGAGUUCGGGAGAGGGAGGUAGAAUUCCCGGUGUAGCGGUGAAAUGCGUAGAUAUCGGGAGGAAUACCCGUGGCGUAGGCGGCCUCCUGGCCCGACACUGACGCUGAAACGCAAAAGCGUGGGGAGCAAACAGAAUUAGAUACUCUGGUAGUCCACGCCUUAAACGGUGAGAACUAGGUGUGGGAGGUAUUGACCCCUUCUGCGCCGUAGCUAACGCGUUAAGUUCUCCGCCUGGGGAUUACGGUCGCAAGAUUGAA